rnacentral:lncRNA from 1 species
GACAGUCGUGAUCUUGAUGACUUCGGUAGGGAAUGCUCUAGUGACAACUAUCCGAUCCUCAACAAUCAAAAUAGAAACAUCCCUAGUAAUGGUAGUCGGUCCGAUGGAAGGAGAGAAGAAGAAAAAAAUAGGGGCAGUCUGUCCCCUAUGAAAUCUGAUGGCCAGUGGCUCAAUCCAACCGUCAAAAGCUUCCUACCAUUCGAAAAAGAGG